CCCAGCCAUCGCGGCAGAUGUUCAUUUGUAAUGCUGCCUUAAGGAAUAAGGAGAUGAGAGCAAAUUGUUCCAGCAGCUCAGCCUGCCCUGCCAACAGUUCAGAGGAGGAGUUGCCAGUGGGGCUGGAGGUCUAUGGGAACCUGGAACUUGUUUUCACAGUGGUGUCAGCCGUGAUGACCGGCCUGCUCAUGUUCUCCUUGGGAUGCUCUGUGGAGAUCCGGAGGCUCUGGUCGCACAUCAGGAGACCCUGGGGCAUUGCUGUGGGACUGCUCUGCCAGUUUGGGCUCAUGCCUCUUACUGCCUAUCUCCUGGUCAUCAGCUUCUCUCUGAAGCCAGUCCAAGCUAUGGCUAUCCUCAUCAUGGGGUGCUGCCCAGGGGGAACCAUCUCUAACAUUUUCACCUACUGGGUUGAUGGAGAUAUGGAUCUCAGCAUCAGUAUGACAACUUGUUCCACAGUGGUUGCCCUGGGAAUGAUGCCACUCUGCCUUUACCUCUACACCUUGUCCUGGAAUCUUGAGCAGAAUCUCACCAUUCCAUAUCAGAACAUAGGAAUUACCCUUGUGUGCCUGACCAUUCCUGUGGCCUUUGGUGUCUAUGUGAAUUAUAGGUGGCCAAAACAAUCCAAAAUUAUUCUUAAGGUUGGAGCCAUUGUUGGUGGGGUCCUCCUUUUGGUGGUUGCAGUUGCUGGUGUGGUGCUGGCGAAAGGAUCUUGGAAUUCAGAUAUCAUUCUUCUGACCAUCAGCUUCAUCUUUCCUUUGAUUGGCCAUGUCACAGGCUUUCUCCUGGCACUUCUUACCCACCAAUCUUGGCAGAGUUGCAGGACGAUUUCCUUAGAAACUGGAGCUCAGAAUAUUCAGAUGUGCAUCACCAUGCUGCACCUAUCUUUCACUGCCGAGCAAUUAGUCCAGAUGCUUAGCUUCCCAUUGGCCUAUGGACUCUUCCAGCUGUUGGAUGGGAUUCUCAUUGUUGCAGUGAAGAGUGAUCCCCAUUGUUACGUGAAGUCAUCAAACUGUGAAUUUUAACCUCACAAGAGUUAGAACUCUGUGUAGAGGAGAUGUCACCUCAUACUGCAGGGCAAGGACAGAGUCUGGACCCACUUGACUUCUCGACUUUGGAUAUGAAAUGCCACCUUCAUCACAUAACUUCCUAUAUAAUGUGUUUUUGUUGGACUCCAUUUGGUUCCAUUUUUUCUAUUUGUAAAUUUUGGAGUGUGAGAAAGUGUAUUGUCUGAGAUUUAGUGCUUUACAAUUUUAUUUUGUACCCUGAAUUAUGUAAAAUGGGAACACAUUGUCCACGAUCAAGACAUCUGACUGAAGGACUGAUUUGGGAGAAACAGACUAUUUCAUUUGUCCUACUUAAAUUAUCAUGAGAGUGUGAAGAGCAAGACAUAACUGUUUUUAGCAAAUUCUUCAAGAGGUUGAAGGAGUCAUCUUGGGGAUGGAGAAAGUGGUGGUUUGUUUCCACCCUUCCACUUGGAUGCAUGAUUACAACUGUGUAAGUAGAGCUCUCUUUUGUUUUUUUUAACAGCUGUCUACUAUUGUACUGUAUGAAUGAUUCUUCAUUUAAUUACAGAAGUCCCUACUGAUGGACAUCAGUCUUUCACUACAAUUGGGGGUGAAAAGGACACUCCGGUAUCUGGGCACUCACUUAAUGUAAUAAAACUCAGUACAAGUUCUCAUUAUUCUAGGGGUGCACAGCAGAUGCCAUCUCUCGGGUAAGGUGGGUGGCUAGAAAAGAGAAACUAGGUAGAAGAAUAACAUUUAGCGAUUAGAUGAGAUGAAAAAGGAUAAUGCAAAGGCCUGAAUACAUUUUAAACUUUCUGAUACUCAGGGGAACAAAGCAGAGUACAUUUUGUCUGAUGACAUUAUUAUACACCAUUAAAGCAGGACAUGCACUAAUGCUCCCAAAACAUUGUAACAGGACAGCAAUUAUGCUGCUUUUAUGGUGGAUGCUUUCCUCUGCUCCAACUAAUUGUACAUCACAGUUAACAUGUAAUUUGCAAGUUCUGCAUCCAUGAGGUCUUCUUGGUCUUCUAGCAAGUAUGCUUUGUUUGGAAGGAUAUGUUUUGGAGAUCCUCCCAUAAGGAUCCUCCCUUCUUUCUCAUUCUUUUGAACAGCUGCUUAGUAUUUCAUUGUAUGAGUACACCCUAAUUUAUUUUGUGUCUAUUAGGGUUUUUUACUACUAUAAACAAUGUUGCAAUAAAUAUUCUUAUAGAAACAUCUGCAUACAUAUGGUAGUAGGAUCAAUUCUUAGAAAUAAAAUUGCUAGGUUGAAGGGAAUGUACUACAGUUCUUUGAACCUGUGACACGUAUCAUUGUAAGAUACACUAUUCUGAAUUAGGUCACAAUGAGAGAUACUUGGACUACCUAUGUGCCAAACACCUGGAACAGCUGGCUGGGUUGUGGGUUCAUAGACCCUGUCUUCACCCCCCAGUGACCCUGACCAGCCACAGGUUGUGAAGUCUCAGGGGGCCAUUCCUGCAGUGGGGCCUGUGGUUGAUACAUGGACUUCCUUGUCCCCAAGCAAAUCUCUAGGAGGUUAGAACCCAGAGUUGACUAAGUCUCUCCUUGAAACCGGGUCACAACCAUGGCUUAGGAGGGGCAGAGAGGGGAGACAGAGUGAAUAAUAAAGCAGUGAGGGCCACCAUAAACUUCGCAGGAGUUCCUUCAAAGGCAUUUCUGUUACCCGUACCCUUCUGAGAUCUACAUGUCCUUCGAGUUCCUUCGAGGCUGUUUUUGUCUGUUUUGUGGCCUUUUUCCCCUUCAUCGUUAUUUAAAAAAUAAAAUAGUUUAUAUAUACGU